rnacentral:other from 1 species
GACUUUCUUACAGCAAUUUAGUAAUUAAAUCAAAACAUAUUCUGUCAUUGUUUUACUUAGGUAAUCUAAUAUACAAAUUUGGAUAACUCAUAAAAGUCUG